UAUCUACAAAUUCUAUCUUUUGGGAGGGGCAGAACACAGUUUUCAACCAGCGAUUGAGUUGUGAGACUCUGCUGUAGAGCUCAUCACUCCCCCUAACUGGGAGGGGGCCAGAGACAAUUAAUCGAUGCCGACACAUCUUUCUAGCUGAUUUACACGCUGAAGCUAUGUUGCGCUUGGUGACCUCUGACUGUUUCAGAAGGCUUGCAGUUGUCACAAAUCACCAAGCAACCGCACCAGGCGCCAUGUUGGAAGACCAGGGUCAGGUGGCAAGUAGCCUAGCAGUCAAGAUUGUUGGGCCAGUAACUGAAAGGUCACUGGUUUGAAUCCCUGAGCUGACUAGGUGAAACAUCUGUCGAUGUGCCCUUGAGCAAGGCACUUAACCCUAAUUGCUCCUGCAAGUCGCUCUGGAGAAGAGCGUCUGCAAAAUUAUAAAAAUGUAAAUGUCAGUCCUUUGGAGGUCGUCCACAUUGCUUGCUGCGUUUUUGCUUCCACCGGAAACUUCGGAAAGAUUUCCCAUUAUUUAAUUUUUCUAAGGACCCAGAAAACGGAGGCAGUGGGAAAACCCAUUCAAUCCUCAGAUACAGAGAGCCGUAAAACCAUGUCUGCAGACGAAGAGGUCCCAAUAAAUGUCCCAAGAGAAUAAGAGUACAUCCUUGUAUACCAUGGAUUAUAUGUGUACCUAUGUUAGCACAUUUUGUGAACAGAAAUACAGUUUAAAAGUCUCACACAAUGUGCAAACUUAUUCCAACUGGAGCAGGCCAACUCUGCUGGGUGUGCAGGUUUUUGUUCCAGCCCAGCACUAACACACCUGAUUCAAUGUAUCAAACCUAAUUAGUUACCCGUAGAUCAGGGAUAAGUGGAGCGAGGUUGGCCACCUCCGGUAUUUGCUUUUUUUAUUCACCUAAAAUUAGGCUUUGGUAAUAAUAGCCUACUUACUAAAAUAUCUAACCUUUACAGAUGAGUUAGCUUACUUGUACACUUUGAAAUUGUAUGAAAUAGUGUUGAUUCUUUGAUGUUAAGUGUUUAGACUUGUUUUAAUUGUUAACUAUUAUUCAUGAUGAACUAGUGUCUAUGUUGAUUAAUCACACAUCACAAUCCUGCAAUAAAGAGGGGAAGGGAA